GUGCCUAACACAUGCAAGUCGAACGAGAAAGUGGAGCAAUCCAUGAGUACAGUGGCGUACGGGUGAGUAACACGUGACUAACCUACCCUCGAGUGGGGAAUAACCUCGGGAAACCGGGGCUAAUACCGCAUAACAUCUUCGGAUCAAAUGCGAAAGCAGCUGGGGGAGGGGGUCGCGGCCGAUUAGCUAGUUGGUGAGGUAAUGGCUCACCAAGGCGAUGAUCGGUAGCCGGCCUGAGAGGGCGCACGGCCACACUGGAACUGAAACACGGUCCAG
rnacentral:rRNA from 1 species